rnacentral:lncRNA from 1 species
GGGGAGAUCGGAAUAAUAUCAGGAAUGGGAUUCCGGGAAUAAUAACAAGAUAGUGUAAGAGCUUGGGAAUAAAUUAUAGAGUAGGAUUGGGUCUUUAUCUCAGGGCAGUAGGUAUAAAAAAGACAAAAGUAAGCACAGGUAAGACCUUGCGCAGUCUCAAUCAAGGUGAGAAGUUAGGAGAGACAAAAUCUGGUGGAGAUCUUUGACUAAUGGAGAAUAAAACAUAGACAAAUGCUGCAUGUCUUUGACUCAACAAGGCUUAAUAUAU